AAAAUGGGUUCGAGUGCGUACGGCAGGCAUUACCAAAUCCUGACUAGAAGCUUACCACUGUCGUCGAAAAGAAAAGUGUAUAGUCAUUGCAUUCUACCGGUGCUAACGUAUGGGGCAGAAACUUGGAGACUGACAAAGAAGCUCGAGAACAAGUUAAGGUCCGCGCAAAGAGCGAUGAAACGAAGAAUGUUGGGUCUAACGUUAAGAGACAGGAAGAGAGCGGUGUGGAUCAGAGAGCAAACGGGGAUAGCCGAUAUUCUAAUUGACAUUAAGAG
rnacentral:lncRNA from 1 species